CCCCACGCCGUCCGCCCCCAAGCCCCCACGCCCCACGACGCCAGUCCCUAUGACGCCACGCCCGGGCAGCUGUGCGGGAAGGCGGCAGAACCCUGCGGCUGCGGGUGGAGCUGGCCGGCGGGGACUCUAGGGGACCGUCAGCUUUCAAAGGAGCCCCCUCCAAAACAGUGUUUCUGAAGCCCGGGAACAGACGCUCCGUCCGCCAGCGCUCAGAGAGGCCGCGGUUGAACUCCAAUAGCAGGAGAGCGGCUUUGAGUCGGCCCGAGAGGACCCUGUUUCUGAUGACAACGUGCAGGUGACUCAUUUGUCAUUUGACAAAGACGCUCUGAGCUCCUACCAGGUGCCAGACGUUAAGGCAUUAGGUGCCUGAUGGAGAACAGAGGUGGGGCGGUUAACUAAGAUGCAGCCUGUUUUCAUGGGACGCACGUUGUGAUUAAUGAGAGUGAGGAGGAGGAAAUAAGCGAAGAGCAAAAGAAACCAAGUAAAUGAGAAUUUCGGUGGCGGUAUGUGGUAUAGCUUACAACUGUGGUACAAUGGCCUGUAGUUCAUCCUUUCCACGGACCUGCCAGCGAAAUGAUGGCAAAGAUGCUUAAAACGUUGAGACAUUCUGCUGUCCCCGUUUCAUUGGAGAACGUGGUGGCACAGAACAGAGCUGACCUUCCGGUGGUCCCUUUUUCUCUUUAUUUCCACAACCCCACUGCUUGUUUUUCCCCACAUCUUAUUGGCUUCUCUUUCUCAUUAGCCUUUGCUUGACUUCUGGAUUUUAUAGUCGACGAGGUCUUGGUCCUGGGCGACCUCAUUUCCCUGUUGAUCCUCCUCCUCUGAGUCGUCUCGUGAAUUCCCCACGUUGUCAGGGCUGUAACUGCCAUCUGUGAGCUUAUGGCCCCCAGAUGGAUCUGUCCUUCCCCCUCUCUUCCUGGACUCCAGAUCUGAGUGUGAAAUGCCCACUGACCUCUCCGUCUCUCACUGCUGCUCACCCAUGUACAGUCCCUUCAAGAAGUUUUCUGCGGUCAACCCUCUAAAAUAUUGACUUACAUCCUUCCCGCCCACCUUGGUACAGUCUGCCUCCCCUUCUCCCCCGUUCAGCUGAAAAGGCCUUCGAACCGCUCCUCUUGUUUCUAACUUUGCCCUCUUAGUCCGUUCACUACAAAUCAGCCAGACUUACCUUUUUUUAAAAAAUUUUUUUUUUCAACGUUUAUUUAUUUUUGGGACAGAGAGAGACAGAGCAUGAACGGGGGAGGGGCAGAGAGAGAGGGAGACACAG